CCUCCUUCUUUCUGUCUUGUAAGAAGAAGAUGAUAGAUAGGGAUUAAUAGUUUGCGAAUUGAAUAGAAAUGUGCGCCAUCCUUGAUCAUCAUGACCUCGCGCAGCUCAUCAUGCUAUCUUCCACUUCUUUCUUUCUAUGUUCUCGGAAAUAUGCUUUUACUUACACCACUGUCUUAAUUUUUUCCUUCUUAUUUAUAAUUUGGACCUGUAUGGACCUGUAAUAUGUAACACAAUGUGUCUAAUAAUGCUAUGUGUCGAAGACAUGAAAUGGAAAGUACAGAAAAAUAUGCUUAACUGAUAAAGACAAGAACUUAGAAAUAUCAUUCCUGAAAACCUAUCAUUUCAAAGAAAAUAAAACAUAAAUAGUAAGUAACCACUCAGUAUAUUUAUAAUUUUUUUGUUAUGUAAUCUAUAUAAAUUCUUAUGCUCGUACCUUCUUCAUAGUGUUAUAUAAAAUCAAAUUAACAAGAUCAUGUACAUGUUAACAUUUCUGGUGUAAUGUUUCAUAGUAUUUAUUUAUUUAUUUAUUUGCUUGCUUAUUUGGUUAUCUAUGAAGUGUUCUGGGAGUCAUUAGAUGAUUUUAGUACCUAACACGUGGCAACACUUCUCAGUCUAGUUGUCUACGUGGCAUUUGCGGGGUUAGGCAAAGUAGUGGCGUGCUCUUAUGUGCGAUUUAUAGGAUUAAACCCUCCCAUAUUCAUCAUGCCCACCGUCCUGUUUACUCCUGACGGCACGGCGCAAGGCUACAGUCAUGAGUGAGCACGGUGAGUCAAACUGGAAGGGCGGGAGGAGGAACGAAGAGGUGGUGGUUGGCAGUGGACCGGAGGUUAAUGGCGGCUAAGAAAACUGCUCACUGCUCAGCUCUUCCGUUGGACUCCCAAGGUACUGUUAUCUUCACUGUUUACCAGUUUUAAGAACUGUUCGUGUGGGGGAUGCUAACUCAGGGUUGGGUCCAAGUACAGGCAAUUCUACUAUGUUCAAGAACUAUGUGGAUAUUUUCAUGUACAUUCAUUUUGCUAUUUAUGUAAAGUCGAAAUCCAAGUACAAGUCAUUGUACUUGUACAUUUUUUUAAGUCCCUACAUUAUAUGAAAAAAGAGUUCCUAUUGCAAAGUUGAGAAAUUUUGAUAUACUCAUAUAAAUGAAUAGUACUUUUAUUCUACAUAACUCUGCAGUAUCAUAACACUCCAUAUGUUUACCCAAUAAUGUCUUCACAAGGUUCACUAGAAUUCAUAUAGAUUACUUAUAUCUUUUGGUUUAGUACAAUGGACUUCAAAGCACUCUGUAUUUUUCAAAAUACUGUACUUUGGUGUAUGUAAGUAUGUACAAGUAUAAUCAAAUUUUUCAAUUCCAAGUACAAUUUGUGUUAGUCCAAAGACAACUCAGUGUAUUUGGACUGAACCUUGGAUUAUAUAACAUGUGGAAUUAGAAAUUUCAGUCCUUAUUCAGGCACUAACAACCGUAUGCACAUGAUCUUUUGUUUUCUCAUGUGAUGAUUUUUCUUAUAUAGCUAGGACCCUGUGCCAUCUAAACUUCACAAAAUCUUCAAUGAAAUGAGCACUGAAAUGGAAAAUGUUGGAUAUAAUUCUGUAAACCUGUGUACAUAACCUUGCAUUUAACAAAGUCUUGUUUGUUAUACAUGGUGGAUGUUUGCUAAACACAAUGCAGUUUUUAAAAGCUUGAUGUGAAGGUGCAAAUAUGUUGUUUAUGAGCUUAGCAUAUGUUAUAGGUGGCAGCACAUGGUGUUAGGUAAUGCUUCGGAAUUCCUGCUACUCAGCAUUGCUACUGUUUGAAUGAGUAUUACUGAAUGACUGCUCAUAUCCUCAUCAGAGGUUACUUACGGCCCUUGCUGUCACAUUAAGAUACUGGUAGCGAAGUUUUGAACUCUAAUGAGGCUUUCCGUCACUUAAUUUGUUUUGUCAAGGAUUGCUGAAUUGUAUUUUAAUUGAAUUAUUGGUCAUCAACCCAGCCUUUGCCCUCAGGGACAAGUGUGUUUACGUUAGGACCCUGUGAGCACAAAUUUUUAAAUUGGUAUUAAAAAAAAAUUACAAAUCUUGAAAGUGUUUGUUCUAGGAAAAGCUUACUCAGCAGAAAGUAAGAUAACUCUAUUUUACUUUUUAUCAUUAUUGAAUGACAGAUAGCACUGUAUAUAUUAAUAGAUUUUGCAUGUUAAGUUAGAGAAUGGCAAGCAAAGCUCAACAGUGUAUGCUGUAAAUAGAAUUUAUAUAAUAAAAAAGUCAAGUAGGUUUUAGGAAGUCAGCUUGUUGAGAGCCUGCUUCACUGGUGCCAACAAUAUCACAACCCUCCAAUUAGCCAGAUGUCCUUUAAUCUCUCCCCCUCUGGCAACUCAUUCCUCUCCUUUAGCACUAGUGCAUAGUCAGUGAAUCCAGGAAAUUUCUUUUUUUAUUUUCUUGUCUUUGAGGUAGUACAGUCCUAUGAGGGUUAAGGACAAUAGGGAAGCUAGAGAAAAGUCAAGGUAGUGGUGAGUUGCUGGUAGUGUGAUGGGCAGGAUGGUAACUCGUAUAAGUUAAUGAGCAGGCAGCUGCUUGAUAGAUGAAAAUUGGGAAGCAUAAGUUAGUUGACUUGAGACCAUUUAUACCCCUGAGCCAGACUUGAAGUGAUUAGUUGAAAAACUAAUCACAGGAUCCCACAUAUGAUACUCCUUGAAGGCCGUGCCAUUCCUUGCUGCUGUAUUUAGCCUAAGUUACACUUGAAGGACAACUUGUGGGUAAUAUCAAUUUGCUCAUUCAUUCUUCUAAAAUCUGCAUCAUAGGCAGGGCAUAAUGUUGAACUUUGUAUUAAUUUCUCCUAUAUACCUGUUAACAACUUGGUCACUGCCUCCUAUAAAAUUAAGUUGAAAAAAAUAUUACUUUGCUAAGGUGAUUUAAGGUUACUGCAAUUGUGUGUGUACUGGUUUCUUGUCAGGUUUAUCCUCUUUCUUUGCAUAAAAUAGGUUAAGCACGAGGCAAACAGUGAAUGAUAACUUUUAUUUCCAUGUAAAAUAUAAUAACACUUUUAAGGUUAAAUUUCCUAUGGAAAAAGUUCUUGCAUAAGGUGUUUUUGGUUUUUGCAGGUGUUUAGCAGUUUAGGUUUACAUGAGCGAAGUUCUGGCAUUGGGCAUACUUACCUGGCACAGGAGACACCGUGAUCAUGAAGGCGGUUCUCCCAGGGCGAGGCCCACCAUUGCACUCCGGCGGUGCUGACCCCUGCGAUUAACCCAAAUGUGGUUAACUCGAGUGCGAAAUUUUUGAUAGCGGGGGAUUGCGUUCGCGCAUCCCCCUCAUUGAUCCUAAUGUAGAAUGACAAAUGUCUGGCCGUUACGUAACGAUGGAGGUUAAUGUAGAUUCUUCAUUUCUCGCAUGUGUCUAUGCGGCUCUGCUUACAACUUUGAUGGCGAGGCAGUGCGUUCGCGCAUCCCCCUAUUGUCUCUGAUGGUGUGGAAUGACAAUAGAUAGUGAAAACUGUAGAUGCAUUACCGUUGGGGGAUGACGCCAAAGAUGCUCUGCCUGCUGUCUACUCUAAGGGGAAGGCCGGGGCUGCGUUCCUUCAUGUCCGUAUUUAUUACUGUUGUUGAAUGAUAUUUCGU